rnacentral:rRNA from 1 species
UACGUAGGGCGCAAGCGUUGUCCGGAAUUAUUGGGCGUAAAGAGCUCGUAGGCGGUUUGUCGCGUCGGCUGUGAAAACCCGAGGCUCAACCUCGGGCCUGCAGUCGAUACGGGCAAACUAGAGUGCGGUAGGGGAGACUGGAAUUCCUGGUGUAGCGGUGAAAUGCGCAGAUAUCAGGAGGAACACCGGCGGCGAAGGCGGGUCUCUGGGCCGUAACUGACGCUGAGGAGCGAAAGCGUGGGGAGCGAACAGG